UUGUAAUAAUGUAAAUAUUAUCGAUAUAAUAAAGAUGUGCCUUUUGUAUCAUGUUUGUUUGGUGUACCCCGGCUUUUCCUAGGACGGGGAUUAAUACACUAGCGUUCGGCAAAAGACAAUUUUCUCGGUCGUGACAGCUAAUGACGGAUUAAUUAGGCUCAAAAGAUUCGUCUCGCGGUUUCCAGGCGAGCUAUGAAAUUAGUUUUUUCAUUCGUGUCCGAAAACCCCUUCCUACAUCUGGUCAAAUAUCUGAUGUGACACCAAAAAAUUUUCUUUUUCACGAACUAAACAAGACCUUAGCUGUAAAACCACCAUUAAUUGCCCAUGAUCUCGACAACCUCCACGCAGUCAGACUGAACAAUCAAGCGGUUGCCAGCUAACAUCAACCCUUCCUUAAUUUAGAGCAGAAGCUUCAGCCGAGAGAGAGAGAGCUCUUACCAUGUCUUGUGCAUCGAUCGAGCCAGCUGAGAGGAUCAUGAUCACAGUAUAGUUGGCCAUAUCUCACCUGUUGAGUCCGUCGAGUCGAGAGCUAGCUAGCUAGGGAGAGACAUGGCGCACCAGAGAGACAAGAGCAGCGAGCUAGGAGGAGGCCAUGGCCGGCGGCGAGCUCCGACGCGAGCCGUGGACGUCGGCCGCCUGCUCGUCAACAACGUACCCGCGCGCGCAUGGCAGCGAGCUCCGACGCGAGACGAAGGACGACGUCCCGCUCUCUCGUCAAGCCGCGCACGGCGAUCGCGAGGGCAGUUGGUUGGAACUCGCUCCCCGGAUCAGCAGGACAUUUGGCCAAUGUCCACGAGGGAGCCGGCAUGUUUUAUCAACCCAAGUUCAAGCUAAGUACAUUUUUUGUGAUAUGGAUGGGUGGCCAGGUCAAGAGGGGUACAAACAAUCAUCGUGACAGGAAAGUCCCGCCCUGUAGUUAUUGAAGUUCUUGGCAAGGUUAAUUUAUCUGGCACAGGUGGUAAUGUUUCAGAAUCGUCUCCAGGAGUAUUUCUUCAGGCGCUUCUAUACUCUCUUGGAGCACAGAGUUGCCCUGGUGGUCUUCAGCCAGGAUGACUGCUACACAACGCUUGAUGAUAAUCCUCUGGCGGACUUUUUCCUUGUGGACCACGAACCAAAGGUGCGGCGGCACGUACGUGGUUCGGCGGCACGUACGUCACUUACGAAUGAUUUUCC